CUUUGGAUGUGGCUAUUGGAAAAAUGAAAAUGACAGAUGUGAUUCAUCUCUUAUUCCUUAUGGACCAGGCUGCUCUAGAGUCCACAAGCACUGUGCAAACUCUAAGACAGAGGAGCUGGAAGACACCCCAGAAACCUGAACUAACAUGGAAUACGGGUGACCAUGUGAAUCUGGAAUCAAGUCCCUGUGGAGGCUUUGUCCCAGCACAUCUGGGCUAUUUGGAAUUCACAUUUCAAAGGAUUUCAUGUCCUAUGUUAGGUUGCUCAGGUUGGCAUUGAGUUCCUGAAGAGACAAAAUAGAAAGGGCUCAAAACAGAGACACAGGAAGCAUCCAUGCCCAUACGCCCAGCGCCGAGGGAGAGCUGUGACCGGCAGCCAAACAAGUGGCUUUGGCAUGGGACCAGCACCAGAGGAGUACUUACAGCAAUCUUGUUUUUGAUCCGGGAGAGCUUCUCCUGGGCCUCGGCAAGUUCUGCGUUAGCUUCCUCCAGGGCCAGCCUCUUGGGGGCCACAUCGCAGUAGACCUCAUAGAAACGCACAAUAUUGAUGCACCAGGAGCACAGCCCUGCAGCGGCUGUGGACUUGGAGCGGAUGAAUUCGGGGUCAAAUGUCGGGUUGCCUUGGUAGGGCCUGGAGGGAGGACAGUGGGGUGCUGGCUUAGUGCUUCUAAUUUCCUUUCUUUCUUUCUUUCUUUCUUUCUUUCUUUCUCUCUUUCUUAUUAUUUUAUUUAUUCCCUUUUGUUGCCCUUGUUGUUUUGGCUUAGUGCUUCUAUCUUCCUGCCUGCAGUUCACCGAUGGGUACUGCUCUGCUCUCUGAUCACCAGCGACAGGAGUUUUAUUUGUAACAUAAAGUGCACAGAAAGGAGAAAUAAAAGGAUGGAAUUUUGGUUGCUGA